UACGUAGGGGGCAAGCGUUGUUCGGAAUCACUGGGCUUAAAGGGCGCGUAGGCGGGUGCUCAAGUCUGUGGUGAAAUCCUCCGGCUCAACCGGAGAACUGCCAUGGAUACUGGGUGUCUCGAGGGUGGUAGGGGUAUGCGGAACUAUCGGUGGAGCGGUGAAAUGCGUUGAUAUCGAUAGGAACUCCGGUGGCGAAGGCGGCAUACUGGACCACUUCUGACGCUGAGGCGCGAAAGCCAGGGGAGCAAACGGG
rnacentral:rRNA from 1 species